rnacentral:lncRNA from 1 species
AAAUACCUCUGAGCCCACUUUCUUUCUUGGAAGCAUUUUAUGACUCUUAUUUCUGUUAUCAACACAGCUUUUAUUUAUGUCUCCAUGUAUCCUUUGAAGAAACACAACUUUUCAGGUUCUAUGUUUUAUUUGCAUUCUUAGUGUCUGGCACAUUGUCUGACACAGUGUAAAAGCUGAGUAGAAUUUUGCCUGAUAGCAGAUGUGCCUGAAGUGAGGGUGUCCAAAAUUUCAUUAAAUGACGACUGCUUUAAUAUGAAUUCUUGGCUAAGGCAGGAGAAUCGCUUGAACCCAGGAGGCAGAGGUUGCAGUGAGCCGAGAUCACACCACUGCACUCCAGCCUGUAAUGUCUUACAAUAACAGAAUGCAGGAGAGCACAUAUCAAUGAAGAAAAGACAAAAUGUACUUAUCCAUGAAGCUGAGGUUAAGAAACCAGUGUCUUCAAGAGCCAGGGACAGCACUGGGUCUGUGCAGAGUUGAGAGAUGGUGAUGACAUGUGGUUUCCAGCAUUCCUCACCCAGUCCAGGGACACUGUGGGUGUGCCCAGCUUAAGUCCAGUAACUGGAAAUACAAGCCCAAGUUCUGGAGAGUUUGAGCUGCAGAGAUAUAUAUGGGAACACUUUGAAUCUUGACUCAUUGGCCAUAACCAGCAGAGUGGAAAAUACAAGAAGAGAAAAAAACAUUGAACUGCGAUUUUAUAACAUCCUUUACUAGGCAGAGAGAAGAGGAAACACCAGGAAAGAAAACUGUAUUACGAUGUGAAAACUUAAUGUUGAGAAAUUCAGGCAUCUUGGGGUUAGUGAGGAGAAGUUUUAGGGGCUUAGAUUCUUCUAAACACAUGUACAGAAAUGCAUAUUUCAUCUGAUAUCAAAUGGCAUUUAUAGUGCUAAUCUUUACCUCAAGACUUCACAUCUUUUGGUGAUUGCAUCUUUUAGGUUUAUAGCAGCUAAGUUUGCAUGAAAACACCAGGGCUGUUUCAUUUCAGUCAAGAAUUAAUGUUCAUUGAUUGUGCUUCUGCAUUUCAUGUAACUAUUGUAGAAUUUGUUUUAGUUUUAUGAGGGAAUAAUUGUUCCAACUUCUAUAUAACUCAGGAAUUUACUCUCAAACAACACUGUCAAUUAGUUACUUAUCUCUCUGGAAAUGAUCUGGGAACAUGGAGAGGAAAGGGAGGAAGGGGCAAAAUCUGACCACUUAAAUCUAAGCAUAUUAGAUCAUUUUAUGCUAGAAAGUCCUGAAUGAUGUGACUUUCGUUCUUGUAAAACACCUCUUUCCAUAGAUUCAUGGCCCAAACAGUAUAUAAAGAGUGGGGAAGGAACUGCAUUUGCAAAUAGUUCAAAUCAUUGCUCCAUCUUAACUACGCAGUUCACAAAGUGUGAAGAAAUGUGAUCAUCUCAAAAAAGAUAAUGGGGAAAAAAUAUGUUUUGUUCUGUGACUUUAAAGUCUUGCAAUAUUUUACAUAAAUGAUAAUGGGUGCUUUAAUAAGAACUCUUGAUACUUUUGUUAUUGUAUUCAAUAUAUGCAUAUAAUACAACAGGAUGAUAUUGUUUUGGAUUUGGAAAUGUAUUCUUUCUUAUGCAAUCUUAUGCAGUCAUACUGCUUGAAUAUCAUUACCUGAAUUUAUCUUUCUUUUUUUUGUUGUUGUUUUACACUCUACUUAUUUGGUGCCUGUCAGUCUUUUGUCGUCAGUUUAUAUUCUACUAAACUCAAAAAGACAAUCUCAUACCUUUUGUAAUUGUAGGCAUUCUUUACUAGAUUUUUAAAUACACUUCAAAAAUUCAAGUACUUUGAUUUCAUGCCAUCAAGUAGCUGAAUCUAUCCCCCCGUCUCUUUUUAAAUUUAAGUGAGUAGUUCAAUUUCUGUCACUUUCUACUUUGUGAAUUCUAAAUCUUUUAAAACCAUCUUGCCAUUUUUCGUGCACUUACCCUUACAGAAAACUCUGUGAAACACUACUUAUCUCUACUUUUAUGUUUUUAACUCCUUUUUUAUAUUACUAUUCCCUCUGCUUUCUAAAUGCACAUAUUAAUUUGUUCUUUUUAUUCUCUGUAGCUCUUCUCAGUGUAUGAAUUCAGUUUCCCAUCAGUCUCCAUACAAUUAAAAAAAAGUUGAGUAUUCUGUUAUUUUAAUAAGAUAUCUAGUGCCCAUAUUCUAAUUCUGCCCCUUAUUUUUAAUAUAAUUUUAUUGUUGAUUUAAAAUGACAACAGUUUCAAUUCCCAGAAAGUGAAAGGAAACAAAGGAAUAAUAUUAUAGGCUUAAUUUUUAUCAGUGAACUUGUAGGUGAAGAAAAGAUUUGGGGAAGGAAAUGAACAUAUUAUAUUGCAAAAUAGUAAGGAACAAUCAGAUGUGUUUUCUAGUCUCUGGAAAAGCAUGUUUCAAGAAAUUCAAUGAAAAGUUCAUCAUGCUUGCUUAGAUUGUUGAGAAGCAAAAACACUGAUGAACAUUUGGAAGCAAUGAGAAUGUAAUUCUAAUCAUACUCUUUUAAUAAUGUUGCAAAACUCUCCAAACACUACUCUGUGUGGAUGUCUUUCAGAAUAUGAUGAAUACUAGUAGUCUUAUUCUGCCCUUUUCUCUCUAUCACAAUAUAUACAUUCUAUAUUGCAUACACAUAUUUUCCAAAUAUUACAUAUAAUUUCAUGUAAUUUAUAGACCUAUUAAGGCCCAACCAUUUUCUUGGAUAGGGGAUUCUUUAGAAGUCCAGCUUAAAUAAAGCCCGUAUAGAAAGUUUUUUUAAAAUUUAUACAUAAUCACCUAAAGUAACCUUAUCUACUGAACUCUUAGUACAUGCUACUGGAACCUUUUAUCAUGUUUCUUCCUGGCUUGCAUUACAACACUGUUGACAUAUCUCAGCCUUACUUCUAGGCUUCUUUGAGAGCAUGACUCAUGUUUGUAUUCCUCACUGAGGUUGAAUGAAUAAGAGAAACUACAGUAGUAGGAAAAAACAGUACAUGUACAUAUCAAUGAAUAUGAAAGGGUCAAAUGGAUCUAUUAUAGUAAGCACAAAAUCAACUGACACCAGCAAAGUAAACCCAAAAUUUUUAAUGGUAUUUUAAUAGAUCAAGAGGAGCAAGCAGAUUUUUGAGACAGUUGUCUCCUACUUUCUCUAUCACAGGGAGUAAUUUUAAAAGAAAAAUGGAGGGUAAGUUUCUUUAAGAGAAAAUUGUAGUUUAAAACAGGUCAUGGGAUAAUUAGAAAUAAUUUAAUUUCUUUAGAGGAUUUUAAUCUUUCAACUGCUUGCAAUUAGAUCCUAAGGCAAUAAAAGAAUAAGGAGAUUUGGAAAACCAUUGUCUGUAAUCUCUGAAGAAAAGUGGACAUUAGGGGAGUCAGUUGAAAAGCAAAGCUAUCACCAUUUUCUAAAGAGGAAAAAGGUGAACCUCACAAACUAUAGACCAAAAAAAUAGGACAUCGAGAGAAAGAAUAUGAAGCUAGCAUAGGUUCACAAAGAAUGAGUCAAAUCAAACAACAUGCAUUUUUUAUUUAUAAAGCAUGACUUGUUCAUUGUCAAUUCAUGUUAGCUUAAUCAUUAGGCAUUAAUGCCAUCACUGCAAUGCAUAUGUCAGCAAUAAAUAAUCAAAGACCAGGCUUCCAUCAUUCUGUUUAAUAUCUUCAAGUAAUGCUUAAGUUUGCAAAUGCUCUUUUAACACAUUCUCCAUAUGCAGCCUGCCCAGCACUGCACACAAUAGACCUGUUACUUCCCCCUCACGAGCACUCCUAAUAUUUCAUGUGCUCAUCCAAUUGACUUCUCCCACUGGUGCCUCAUAUUGAAUUUGUAGAAUCACACCUGCUCCUUUUUCAAAACUCUUCUGAGUUUUUUCUUAAAUAAUUCACUGACCCCAAAGUUGUCAGAUAUUUGAAGACUACUCGCACAAUUUUAAUAUUAUAAAUGUAUAAUGUAAAUGUAAUUAAGAUUUGUAUAAUGUACGAUGUACUUUGGUAAAUAAAAGUAUGCUGUGAAUAAAUACGUAUGAUACAAUUCAAAAUUUUACAUAAAUAUGUGAUAAAAUUUAGCUCAUAUUCUUUUUUUUUUUCUUUGAGACGGAGUCUCACUCUGUUGCACCCAGGCUAGAGUGCAGCAGCAUGAUCUCAGCUCACUGCAACCUCUACCUCCUGGGUUCAAACAAUUCUCCUGCCUCAGCCUCCUGAGUAGCUGGGAUUACAGGUGCCCGCCACCAUGCCCAGCUAAUUUUUUUCUAUUUUUGUUGUUGUUGUUGUUUUUAGUAGAGACGGGGUUUCACCAUGUUGGUCAGGCUGGUCUUGAACUCCUGACCUCAGAUAAUCCACCUGCCUCGGCCUCCCAAAGUUCUGGGAUUACAGACGUGAACCACGGUGCCCGGCCUAGUUCAUGUUCUUUAAGGACAAUUAUGAAUAUUUUUAUGCACUGUUAAUUUUCAUUAAGAUAUUGAUCAAUUAAUAGCUAUAUAUGUUCUAUAAAUUAAUCCUAUCUAGUUUCAAUCUUAAAUUGUUUGCAUAUACCAAUCUAGUUUAUUGUUUGCAUAUAUUUUAUAGUGUAGAGAUUAGGCAUUUUAAUAAAAUUUUAAAAUUUCCAGGACAUACUGUUAAUGACUAUGCUUCCUACUAUAGGCCAUAAUUAAUUUUUUUCUAUUGUCAACAAUAUUUUGGUAGGGAUGAUCAGGAAAUAAGGAAAUGUUUCCUUCAUUUGUUAACAAUAGGUGUUUGGGGAUUUUAAAAUGAAAAUUGAAGAAGUAAAAGACACCAUAUAUUUAGUUUGUUUGAUUUCGUGGCUUCAAGAGUUCAAUAAUUUAUUGAAAUAUUUUACAGACCAAAGAACAACAGAUAUAUUACGUUUAUAAGCCCCCACAUAUUUUAAAGGAUAAUGGUUUAUAUAUGAAAAUUCCCUGAACCUACACUUCAUCAGGAAAAGCUAAAUAAAAGAAGUUUACAUUUCCUAGGACUAAUGGAGAUUUAUUUCCCAGUCCUCUUCUCUGGAGACAAAUGUAGGUCUCUCUUGAAAAGCAGAAAGUUUUGCAUAUGAGGUAUGAUUUAGUGGGCUAGAAACAUCUUUUCCACCCUCCCCAAAAUGUUUCACUAUGUUUUAUCAUACUAUCUGAUAAUUUUGCACUAAAGUUUUCUUUCUGUGUUAAGAAAAUGCAAAUAUCUCUGAAUGGGUCUCUUUGCUUUAGUCAUACUCAUAUGGCUACUACUGAACAAAAUAUGUUCAUUACAGGAUGAAGGGAAUGUUGCCAGCCAGCAAAUCCCUAGAGUUUGCACUACACCAAACGUUGCUUAGCAAUUUCCACGAUUUUCUCAGUCUAAUUUGCAAGAAUCAAGGAGAUGUUUGUGUAUGCUACAUGAAGUUGUAAAAUUGGUAUUUAUUGUAUGUUUCUAUAUCGAAAGCUUUACAAACAAAGGAAAUGGAAAGUUAACAGGUGGAUAUGAUAGUGUGGCACUACUUUAGCUGGAUGGUAAGGGAGAGCUUCUCUUAGGAAGUGUUUUAGGCCAGGACUUGAAUAAUGAACAGUAUCUAGUUGUACAAAAAUCUGGAGGAAAGACUUUUCAGGCCCAGGAGAAAUGAAAAUUCUUUUCAUGCAUACAAGAAUGAAAGUGAAAAUUACCUACUCUAUGUCCUGAAGUGGGAAGUUGGCUUGCCAGAGAGUAGGUAAUUUUCACUUUGAUUCUUUCAUGCCUUCAGUUAUACUACUUCUUAGGUUAGUUCAUAAGGGUUUCCACAAUUUGGUUCCCACUUAAAAUUUAAAACUUCCCUAACCCAUUCCCACCAUAUAUUGUGCUAAUCCAUGCAUAUGUGACUUUGCGUAUGCUGUUUUCAUUGUUUAAUAUUCUUCUCAUGCAUUCGUUCUUUCCUGAUAACGAACUCAUCUUUGAAACUCCCCUUCAAGCAUCCUCUACUUUAGGAGGCCGCUUCUCACUGUCUCCUGCCUACCACCCAUUGAAUUGUUCAAUUUUUAAGCUGCCAUUGUCUUGUGCAGUUGACACAUUUCUUUGCAAUUACUGAUUUACAUGUCUGCUUUUAUCACUGGUGAGGUUCUUUAGGACAGAGACAUUAUUAAUUCAUCUCUGGGCACAUAUGUUCCAACAUAUUAGAAGUACUACAGAGUGCUAUUACUAUGUAGUAUGUAGUAUUAGUAGUAGUUACUCACAAAUCAUUUUUAAAUAAGUGAUUAUAAUAUCUUUUUGUUAUUAUGAUUUAACACAAGAUGGAAUUUAUUUUCAGAAGUUUCCAUGAUAUAUUUGUUCUAUUUAAAAUCCAAUAGCCAUUAGAAUAUUACCAUUAUUUAAUGUAAAACAAUAAAAUAUUAAAUAUGAUCGUUCAUAUUUAAUGCAAACCGAACUCAUGGAAAUAUUGUGUAAAGAUCAAGUAAUUUUUGACAUACAAUUUUAAACUCAACUUUUCAUAUAGCAUACCUUAUGAUAUAUUUUCAGCCUACUUUUAAAUAUGUUGGCAUUGAAAGCCAGUUACUAAUUCGCUGAAUUCAUGAUUUCUUUUUAAGUUAUAGAAGUGGAAUUAUGUUUGAGAUAUUCAUUGCAUUACAUUUACCAGAACUUGAGUUCUUAACAUGGAACCUGAGAGUUUCUCCAAUUCUUAAGUCCCUGGGAGAAAUAGAUUAGCUGGAUGAGGAACUGAGAGGAAAAAUGGUCAGAGAUGUAGCAAGAGUUGGGAAGAAGGAACAAUGAUUUGCUUUCAAGGAGAUUUUUUCAUUGGUCUGUUUUCAGUGACAAACCCACUGCGAUAAUACAUGUAAAGUGAAAACAUUCAGGAAGUUCCCUUAGAAACCUCUUUUCUGGCAGUUCCUAAUUCUACAACAUUGUAUAAGUGAAAUACCAUAGUUACUGUCAUAGUAAAUUGAGCCAAGAGAAACAAGGGAGCAGGAGAAGAAAAGAAUUAAAGAGAGUUUUGUCUUUCAGUCUUCACUCUGUUUCUUCUUGCUUUUACCAGUCAUUCAGGUUUAUAUAAUUUCUUUAGAGAGGCUUCUACUAUGCAGGUCUUCCUUAAAGUCAUUGGUAUUACCUGGCAUGAUAUGUGAGCCUUUAAUAUCAGUCCCUUUAUCUCUUUAUUUUUAAAGUUUAUAUCAGUACAGAGUCCUGGAUUCUUAAUUAAUUUAAUAGGUUAGACUUUAUGCUAAUAUUCUUCAUUUUGAUGCUCAAAUUUUCCAAAAUUUGGCCAGCAGGGUUCCUUAAAGCUGGGUACCUUGCCCUUUCAACAUGUCCCUCUGAUUCUUUAUUUUUAUUUACUUAUUUAUUUAUUUAUUUAUUUAUUUAUUUAUUUAUUUAUUUAGAGACUGAGUCUUGCUCUGUCUCCCAGCCUGGAGUGCAAUGGCACAAUCUUGGCUCACUGCAACCUCUAUCUCCCAGGUUCAAGCAAUUCUCCUCCCUCAGCCUCCCGAGCAACUGGGACUACAGGCAUGUGCAACCAUGCCUGGCUAAUUUUUUUUGUAUUUUUAGUAGAGACAGGCUUUCACCAUGUUGGUCAGGCUGGCCUCGAUCUCCUGACCUCAAAUGAUCCAUCGCCUCGGCCUCCCAAAGUGCUGGGAUUACAGGCGUGAGCUGCCACACCCAGCCGUCCCUCUCAUUCUUUAAGUACUUCCAUGUUUUCUAAGGUACAAGAUGUUCCAUAUUAUUUUGUUAUUUGUCUUCCCCAGCUCUGAAAUCUGCCUUUCCUUCAAGGAGCCUUGGUUCUUUCUAGUGACAAAUUAUAUUUAGAAAGAAGAUCUGGGUAUUUGACUUGUAUAUUGCUAUUAAUUGGCCAUUGUUUCUAGUCUCUUUCAGUAGACAGAGCUAAGAAAUGUAAAAGGAAAUAUUUGAAUGUAUGUAUAUGUGAUAUAUUAAGUACAUUUAAACAUAUUAAAUUCAUGAGUUCAUACUAAUACUUUCAAUAAGCCACAAUUCCCUUUUCAUGUUUUCGAAGGAAAAAUAUCCAUUGUCUAUAUACAGUGGACAUAGAUAGUAAUAAUACUGAUCUUGAAAAGAGCAGUCUUAAAUAGAUCCCAUUAAUAGUUAAAGAUAACAUAUCUUAGAAUUCUAGAUAUUAGAGAGAUUAUCUAGAGCUGUAAUCUAGAUAUUUUAUAGAUCUUUGCUGUGCUGUUUUGAAUUUGUGUUGGAGUAGAACAAUCAGAUGACAAAAGCUCAUCCCACAUGGAAAAAUCAAAGCAUUCAUUACAGAGAGAAUUUUGAAAUAAAUGCAUAUAUAAAAAAUAUAUAUGCAUAUAUAAUGCAUAUGUAUAUGCAUAUAAAAUAUAUAUAUAUAAAAUGAGGGUUAUAAACAAUGAAGGAAAUAGUGAUACUAUCUAUGUGGGAACAAUACUAGUAUCCUCCCUUUGGAUGAAUACAGUAGCUACAGAUGCAAUUCUGGGGACUCUGUUUAGCAAUAGCUUAACUAUUGCUUGGCUACAAGCAUGGAUAACUUGUUCAAAGAUAAUGAGGAGUUGUAAAUAUUUAAAUAAACAGGAUUUGCAACAUAAAAAGCUUUGUGACUAUGUGUCUGAAUUCUUAGAGUUUUCUCCCAGCAAGACCUUGGAUGUGGCAGACUUUUCUGUAAUUGUCCAUCUCGCCCCUAUUUCAUGAAAAGCCAGAGCUUCUCUACUUAGUUUGCUAACCCCAAAUAUAUAAAUUCAAUAGAAGUACUAGCCUGUUUUUACUGGUUUAUUUGCUUUAUCUAAAAAAAACAAGGCAUAGUUUAAAGUCUGUUUUUGAUAGCAUAACAAAACAAAGGUUCUCAUUUUAAUAAUGCAUCACAUAUACACUUGGUAACUAUUGCAUAGUAAUAAUUUAAUAACUUGAGAAAUAUAUUUAUGCAUGUAUGUGUAUAUGUUCAUAUAUAUGUUAUUUUUAAUUCAGAAGUAAAACAAAUAUUGGAAGAGGCCACAGUUAUUAUAAAAAUAAUUUGACCAGUAUUGGACAAUGCAAAUAGCAAUCAUUUAGAAGUUUCU